rnacentral:rRNA from 1 species
AGAGUUUGAUCAUGGCUCAGAACGAACGCUGGCGGCAUGCCUAACACAUGCAAGUCGAACGAGACCUUCGGGUCUAGUGGCGCACGGGUGCGUAACGCGUGGGAAUCUGCCCUUAGGGUUCGGAAUAACAGUUAGAAAUGACUGCUAAUACCGGAUAAUGUCUUCGGACCAAAGAUUUAUCGCCCAGGGAUGAGCCCGCGUAGGAUUAGCUAGUUGGUGAGGUAAAGGCUCACCAAGGCGACGAUCCUUAGCUGGUCUGAGAGGAUGAUCAGCCACACUGGGACUGAGACACGGCCCAGACUCCUACGGGAGGCAGCAGUGGGGAAUAUUGGACAAUGGGCGAAAGCCUGAUCCAGCAAUGCCGCGUGAGUGAUGAAGGCCUUAGGGUUGUAAAGCUCUUUUACCCGGGAUGAUAAUGACAGUACCCGCAGAAUAAGCCCCGGCUAACUUCGUG